UGCCUUUAGCUAAACAAGUAUUAAAGGUCCCGCCUGCCCAGUGAUUUUUUCAACGGCCGCGGUAUUCUAACCGUGCAAAGGUAGCGUAAUCACUUGUCUUUUAAAUAAAGACCUGUAUGAAUGGCUAAAUGAGGAUAAACCUGUCUCAUAUAACUAAUCAGUGAAACUGAUCUCCCAGUACAAAAGCUGGGAUAACCACAUAAGACGAGAAGACCCUGUGGAGCUUAAAACAACCACUAACACAACCACCUAAUAGACUUAGUGCUCGUUUUCAGUUGGGGCGACUUCGGAAUAAAAAAUAACUUCCGAGCACAGAACCACAACCUCUAACCGAGGCCAACAAGCCAAAGCAUUAAAAUCGACCCGGCCUAGCCGAUCAACGAACCAAGUUACCCCAGGGAUAACAGCGCAAUCUUCUUCGAGAGCCCCUAUCAACAAGAAGGUUUACGACCUCGAUGUUGGAUCAGGACACCCAAAUGGUGCAGCCGCUAUUAACGGUUCGUUUGUUCAACGAUUAACAGUCCUACGUGAUC
rnacentral:rRNA from 1 species